GUCUACAGUCAUGGCACUCUGACCAAGCCCAAUCCCGUCUGAUCUCAGAAGCUAAGCAGAUUGGGCCUGGUUAGUACUUGGAUGGGAGACCACCUAGGAAGACCAGGUGCUGUAGGCA
rnacentral:rRNA from 1 species